rnacentral:rRNA from 1 species
GUGAGGAAUAUUGGUCAAUGGGCGGAAGCCUGAACCAGCCAAGUAGCGUGCAGGACGACGGCCCUACGGGUUGUAAACUGCUUUUAUGCGGGGAUAAAGUUGCCCACGUGUGGGUUUUUGCAGGUACCGCAUGAAUAAGGACCGGCUAAUUCCGUGCCAGCAGCCGCGGUAAUACGGAAGGUCCGGGCGUUAUCCGGAUUUAUUGGGUUUAAAGGGAGCGCAGGCCGCCGUGCAAGCGUGCCGUGAAAAGCAGCGGCCCAACCGCUGCCCUGCGGCGCGAACUGCUUGGCUUGAGUGCGCCGGAAGCGGGCGGAAUUCGUGGUGUAGCGGUGAAAUGCUUAGAUAUCACGAAGAACCCCGAUUGCGAAGGCAGCCCGCUGUGGCGCCACUGACGCUGAGGCUCGAAGGUGCGGGUAUCGAACAGGAUUAGAAACCCGAGUAGUCC